rnacentral:rRNA from 1 species
AUUGAACGCUGGCGGCAUGCCUUACACAUGCAAGUCGAACGGUAACGGGCCUUCGGGUGCCGACGAGUGGCGAACGGGUGAGUAAUACAUCGGAACGUGCCCGAUCUUGGGGGAUAACGAGGCGAAAGCUUUGCUAAUACCGCAUACGAUCUACGGAUGAAAGCAGGGGACCGCAAGGCCUUGCGCGGACGGAGCGGCCGAUGGCAGAUUAGGUAGUUGGUGGGAUAAAAGCUUACCAAGCCGACGAUCUGUAGCUGGUCUGAGAGGAUGAUCAGCCACACUGGGAAUGAGACACGGCCCAGACUCCUACGGGAGGCAGCAGUGGGGAAUUUUGGACAAUGGGCGCAAGCCUGAUCCAGCCAUGCCGCGUGCAGGAUGAAGGCCUUCGGGUUGUAAACUGCUUUUGUACGGAACGAAAAGCCUUCUUUUAAUACAGGAGGGUCAUGACGGUACCGUAAGAAUAAGCACCGGCUAACUACGUG